AAUGGGAUAGCUCAGUUGGUUAGAGUGUGGUGCUGAUAACACCAAGGUUGCAGCGUCAAUUCCCAUUA